UACGGAGGGUGCAAGCGUUAUCCGGAAUCACUGGGUUUAAAGGGUGCGUAGGUUGUUGAAUAAGUCAGAGGUGAAAGGUUGUCGCUUAACGAUAAAAUGGCCUUUGAUACUGUUCGACUAGAAUUAGGUUGAGGUAGGCGGAAUGCGUCAUGUAGCGGUGAAAUGCAUAGAUAUGACGUAGAACACCGAUUGCGAAGGCAGCUUACUGGACCUAUAUUGACACUCAGGCACGAAAGCGUGGGGAGCGAACAGG
rnacentral:rRNA from 1 species